rnacentral:sRNA from 1 species
CUUUUGUUUUGCUUUUUGACGCAUGAUAUGUAGGCUUAGAUCUGAUUGCAUAGGAUAA